AGUCCGGGCUGCCCCGGGAUGGGGAGCCUCCACAGGAGCCCACGUAGGAGAUGACGCCCCCUGCUGGAGGACAGAGACCUGCAGAGGCUACAUGUAAAUAAAGACUAGCUAUGAAGCGUGAAAACAGCGAGGUUUGAUCCCUGCAGUCCGGCCAUCGGGGAGCGUCAGACAGGAAAUGAGACCUAAAGAAGAAAGGAGGUCUGGAGGAGCAGCAUCUUCCUCCUCCUCCUCCUCCUCUUUGUGCUGGCAGCGUCACGCCUCCAGGCCACGUGCCUCCUCCACACACAAGGCCCUACAACGAGACUGAGGAAGCCCCGCCCCCAGCCCUCACGUUCCACCACCCAUCAGUGUGACGUCACACUGACAGGAAGUCCCGCCCCCUCUCAGCCAGUAGCCAGCAGGAGAUCCUGUUUCUCUGCUAGUAUUUGGGACGAUUCCUGUCUUUCUCUGGUUUGAAUAUAUAUUUACAUUAGAUCACUUUUAACCAAAAACAAUAAAAGAUUUUAAUCCUUAUUUAGGAAUAAACUUUAUACAGUAAGGACAAUCUCACAGUGCACCAAGAAAGAUAUGUUACAGUAAAGACAAAAUGUAAUAAAGUUACUAUCUUCUGUGGA